rnacentral:lncRNA from 1 species
UUCAGUUCGCGGUUUUUUAGCAGCAGGCGAGCUUUCAUCUAGUCUUGGUGCAGGCUUCCUUAGUUCACUUUCAAGCCUUCUUUUCUUGCCUGGAACUCCACUCUUAACACCAGGUGAAUUUUCGUGCUUACCUCCGGAAAAUUUGGUACUAGAUUUCUCUGUCAACGGACCUUUUGACAUUUUGGAAUCAGAUUUACCACUAGUAGGCACAUGUGAGUUACUGCUUUUGUCUCUAUGAAUUGUAUCACCUUUUUUGUCCGAGCCACCAGCUACCUUCUUUGUUCUCGCCAGAUUCUUCUGACCAUUAGUGCAACCAUCACCGCCAGUUCCUUUAUCAAAAUCUUCUUCCUUUAUUUUAGGGUCAUAUGAACUAUGCGUCAGUGACUCGCUACCCGGGGAUGAAUCCUUCUUCACAGUCUCAGCGUUUGUCUCUUCACCAUUGUUCUUAUCUAAUUUAGGGACUAUAUGACCUGUUCCAUCCAAUGUCUCAGCCUUUGUCAAACCAGGCUCCGCUGUAUCGAGAGGAUCCAAUGACUUGCGGUUCUGCAACUCUUCAAAAGCGGUGCAAAUUUCCGUGACGGCUUGCGCAAAAUACUUGAGUGUUUUACCUUGACAUCUUGCUAAUAGUUUGCUCUUUGCCUCAUUAGUGAAGGCUUGGAUAUCAGGCGGUGCAACAAAAGCUCUGCAGUAAAGGAACAUAGCUUAGGUCAGUCAAUCAACUACACAAAGGACAAAAUCAACUCCAAAGAUAUACUAAGCCAAAAAAACACAAAACCAAUUAGGGUAAGAGAACACCUGAUAACCGAGAUCUACUGCCUAAUUCUAGCAUAUUGAGAAGGUACGCGAAUUCCAGGAUAACAAGGAUAAAAGAUCUGUCUACAUAUAUAUGAAGAGAGAGAGAGAGAGAGUUGCUUACAUUUCCUGAGUUCCAAAGAACUUAACAAAGUACUUCUUCGGGUCAGGCGCACGAUCCCAUUCUUCAGGCCGGCUAAUCUGGAAAAUCAAAACCAAAAUUCUUCACCAGACAGAACUCAAAAGACUUUACCUUUAGUAACAUAUUUGCAUAAUUCAACCGUAGAAUCUGACCGAGUAAAUAAUCAAAACAUUUAAAAUCCAUCUCAGUAUCAGGAAGACUAGAAUAGUAAGAUGCUAAAGAGAUGAACAAAAACAAUUCUACAAAGCUAAUGAGUCCGGUUCGUCAGAUGCCAAAGAGAUGAAGAAACUAUGGAGGUUAAGGGGAAUGAAUUGGAGAAGAAAAUAGAAAGGUGGGUGGGGCACCUUAGCAGGCCAAGCAGGGAAGCCUUUGACUUUGGCAAGAACGAGAUCACCGAGGAUCAACUUCCCCUUGGCGUUAGCCUUGCUAGCUCCUCUUUUACGCCCCGGAGCCAUAGGCGAUUGAUUCCUCCUCUAUAAACCCUAAUUUUUAAUCCCAAACCAGAAUCGCUGAAUCCCAAUCCGAGAAACCCAAUAAAAGAGACUCUGAUUCCACCGGAGGAAGGAAGGAAGGUUCGCUGGUUGAACGGAGACAGCUAGAGGUCACGUGGAGCGCGAACGAGAGGGAACAAGAAGGGCUUUUGAUCCAGACAGAGAUUUGAUUGUUUGAGGCGGUCGCGGGAGGACGGGAGGGGCUUAGGGAUGUAAUGGAUUUUUUUCUGAUAACCUAUUGGUUACUCUUGUCGGCGUUUUAUUCCCCUUCUCCUUUUUUAUUUUACAUCAAAAGAGAGAUCCAAUCCAAAUCCAACACAAUUCUCUUUUAUUUUCCUUUUUUUUUUGUUUAAUUAAUUAAUGUUUUGAUCUCACUACUCCUAAGUCAUAGUAUUUAAUGUAUUUCCUUCACGCUUCCAUUUACAAAUUAUAGAUUUAACAUCUUGGAUAACCAAAACCAUACAAAAAUAAACAAAUACUAGAAACAUGAAUGAUAAGUCUGCUUGAACUUUGAAAAACGAGUAAUCAACCAAUCAUCAAGUGGAAAAACAGAUGAUAUUUUGGAAAGUUUAAGAUGUUUCCAAAAUGCUUUGCGUUUUGAUAUUUUUAUAUUAGUCUUAAUUUUUCCGAAAAAUGUGUCACUAAUGAUAUUUUAUGGAGUAAUUUUCUUAUGAUUAACUGAAUUAGUUUUAGUUUACAUUUUUUAUUUUAUUUUUUAGAAAAACAUGUAUGCAUUAAUUCUUUUCCAUUCACCUAAAAUAUCAAGUAUUUUGAAACAGAAUAUUAUCCUCUAUAUAUUAAAAAAAAACAUUUUUAAAUUGUAACCUAAAUUUUAGUCCUGAGGGGUCAACAACAUAGAUCUUCUCACAACUCUUAUUUGAAUGGAACUACGUUACUAGAGAAAUCACCUAAAAUGCUAUAAAGAAACAUUAUACUAUAUUUAUAAGGCAGCAUUUACGUAAUUAUUAUGGACAUUGACCUCCUACAUACGGUUUGUAAUUAACUCAUUCUAAUCGAUUUUUUAAAAAAUAAAUACUAUAAUCAAUUUCAAGUUUUCAAAUCGGUUCUACACAUGUAGAAACAGCUUUAUAAGUAACAGAAAUUGUCACCCAUGAAAUUGCACAAAACCGUAAAAAAUAUAACUGCAAGUUAAACAAUAUACACUAAAACUAUGUGUUAUCCUAACCAUUUUGUGUUUUGUAUAGACUUUAUGUGCUGAGAUAAGGUUCUAAACUUUACUCAAUGAACAUAUGAUGACACAAGUAGCACUAUGUUUAACAGUCAUUUCACCCGUUUGUUUCUAUCAUUCAUUACGGAUUCAAAUCAAGGGAUAUGUGAUGGAUCAAGGGAUAUGUGAUGGAUCAUACGUUUUUUUUUAUUUUUGUAGUUUCAUGCAUUACAAAAGUGACGUAUGAUGGAGAAUGUCAUUAACAGUUAUUAGCUGAGUUUAUUGUAUCGUCGGUUUAUCAAUUCAAUUCUGAUGUAUGGUUUUUCUAUAUAAACUUGGUAUUGUCACUUCUCAUAUGGAAUAAAAUAUAAAUGUAAUUUUAAUAUAGUUAAAUUGUUAAUGACUUUAAAAUGAGAAUAAAGUGUUAUUCAAGUUUUUAAAUAUGAAGAAUAUAAACUGAACAUAAUAUUUAGAUAUUUUAUUCAGUAAAUACAUUUAAUAUAUCUGCUUGCAAAUUUAUGAGUUGCUUAACAUGGUUAUUAUAUAUUUAAUAUGUUAUUGUGCAUAUUGCCCGAUUCUCCUUUCCAAUAUUUGCAAGUAGUUAGUUUUUUUUAGUCUAGAGCAAGUUUAGUUCUUUUCCACGCAAAAUACGUAUAUAGAAAAUAUUUAUUGUCGUAGCUAGUUAGUAUAAAACUGUAAAUAAACAUUUAAUGAUUUGAUACUGCAAAUUCUAUUUUAUGGUAUAAUAAAUACAUUAUCUGGUGAUAAACCUAAAUUACAAUAUAACUAUAAAUACAUAAAUCUAGGGUCUGACUGGUGAUCAUUCGGCAAAAAGGAAGAACGAAUAAAAAAAAAAUAUACGUGAAUAAAAUAGUAAGAAUGAAAAUGAAUGGUUGUUCUUUCUCAAAUUUAAGAAAUAAUAAUUUUGUUCUUUAAUUCUCUACAAAAAAAAAUGAGAGGGAAUUAGAAAAAAUAUUAUUUCUUGUGAAUGGUAAUUUUUUUAGAAACGUUAGAGAAUGCAUUAUUCCUUGUCGUUCCUCGGUCACCAAUCAUUACCUCUAAUAAAUAAAACCGUGUUUUCUGUAUAACAAGUAUGUUCAUUAUAUAAUGCUUUUAUACACGUAAAAUAAAUAAUUUUUUAAUAAGAAAAAGAAAACUCAAUUUUUAACAAAUAACGACCAUCAAAAUACUAAAAUAAAAAAUCAAGAAACAUUAUUUAAUAUUUCAUUUCAUGUCUAUCUAUACUAUUUAAGCAUGAUCUUUCUUAGGAUUAUGCCCUUGACUUUUCUAAUUAAUUACAAAAUUUUCCAUUAACUUUUUCAUUGAUUUUUCCAAUAAUAAACAUGGUUUUGUCGGUCACAACAAUAAACUAGAUUUGUAAGGGUAGUGAGCUUGGGCCUAUUAAGGUAAAAUAAGAUAUAUGUUUGUUUUGCUUUCUGGUUGAAUUGGUUUUUGCGAUCCAACUUGAUCAUUUUUGCAUGUGAUUUUAAAAUCAAGUAAUAGUGCAUCUCAUUUUAAUUCUUUUCAGCAAAUUAAAAUAUUUGAAAAUAUAAAAUAUCGACAUUAUAAUUGUUUCAUAAUAUAAACAUUACAUAUUAUAUUUUUAAUAAAAACUAUAACAUUUUUUCUGGAUAUAGUAACUUUAUGUUAUUAAAAUUAUUUGUUAUUCUUUGCUAUAUUAUUUAUACCAUAAAUACAUAGAUAUGUAAAUAAAAUAAUUUUCUAAAUAUUUCUCCCAUUUUAUUAUAUUGGUGAUUCACAAUAUGAAUUUUUUUUAUUUUACCUCAAUUAUUUGAAAUGAUUUAAAACAGAAAUGUAACAAGAACCGAAAAAUUUGAAAUUUUUAUAUAUCCAUACCACACAAAAUAUCAAAAUAUUCAAUCACUUUAACCAAAACUCAACUUCAUAUAUAACCAAAAUUGUUCAUAUAUUUCUAAACCAAAAACCACAACCAAACUGAAAUCAAAAACCAAUAAAAGCAAAUUAGAGUUGAACGAAAACCGAAAAUGCCUAUAGCGAAAUAAAUUAGUUAACAAACAGUUAUAUCAAUACAUUUUUCAACAAAUAUAUUUCCGCACUUCAAAAUCUAGUAGUUUAUUAAAUUUGAAACAUGUUCUCAUAAAUAGAAAAAUUCUAAAAAACAAUUUGCAAAUACAUAAUUGAUUUUAAUGUGCAAACAUGUCAUUAUUUUAGAUAUUUCAUUCCGCGCAUUAUCAGCUAGUAUAACAUAAAUAGCAAUCCUGCUUCUGUCAUGGAGAUCUUAAUGUGUCUCUCUCCCUAAUUUCUCAGAGCACAAUCAAAGUCCAAUAAUUACCAUAUGGUGUUCUAUAACACAAAAUCGCACAAACUUUUCUAAUGAAAGCGAAGAGUAUUAUUGAUCAAAAACUUAGUGACCAGCAGCAGACGGCAGCAUCAGUUCUUCACAUAAGCAAAUCAUAUAAGAUUGUGAUCUCUGAAACUAAACAAAAAUCUCACAGUUCUUAUACUUUUCUAGUUAGUUCAAAUGAAUGUGCAAUUAACAAAACAAGCGUGUACUGGAUCAGACUCGCCAAUACCAUGAAACUUAAUCCAAUUAUUCAUUUAACUCGAAUCAUAUAUGAAACUGUGUAACUAAACAGUACACUCAAUGAAAAAUAGUUCCGAAACAUGAACACGAUUUUAUUAAAGAAUAAAAAACAGUUUUUAAGAGAUUAUGCCCCUGCAGAGCAUCAAUUUCAUCCAUAGAAGAAAAGUGUGAUCUAACUGAAGCAAAGAAAGAAAAAAAGAUACUUUUGAUUACCAGAGUGACUCCCUCAACUCGAACUCUUAUCUUUGCUUUCACCCCCAACUGCAUCUUUCACCAACUCCAACGGUCUCUCAUCAAUCACUUCAUCGAUUAUCCCAAACGCCUUGGCCUCUUCGGGAGUCAUGAAGUUAUCCCUGUCCAUGUUCUCCGCAAUCACGUCGAUAGGCUGGCCCGUGUGUUUCGCAUAAAGACCAUUCAAAGCAUCCCACACACGAACAAUCUGCUUCGUGUGAAUCGUUAAAUCCUUGGCCUGGCCGCUAUACCCACCUGAAGGCUGAUGAAUCGAGAAGAGCUUACUUUAUCAGAUUUCAUAACUGCCUCCUUACCAGAAUCACUCUGAGGCUUCUUUGCCAUCACAACACCAGAAACUUUUACAGAUGACUUUGCAGCUUUUUGCUGUGCUGUAACGUGCUUAUUAGAUGAACCCAGCUGAGGAGACAGCAUAGGAGAUUUAACGAUCUGCUUGACAUCCUUUGGCGGCAACUCAAUGAUGGGUUUCACUAUGGGUAAGCUAUUAGCAGAUUUCUCCACAUUUUCCGAUAAUACGCGUGAAGCAUCCUCGCAAUGUUUACGCAGAGGUGCUUUCUUUACUCGAGUACUCUCUGUAGGUCCAGCAGAUACCUUAGAUUUGGUAGAGGCAUUGCCACUUUUGGGACCAUCAGUCAAUUCUGAUGUUUUGGGAACAGCAGCUCGACUUCCAUGUAAUGGGGUUUUUGGAUCUUCAUCAUCAUCUUCGUCGUAGAUGCAAACAGCCCUUCGCUUUUUCAGAGACUGUGCAACUGAAGAGGGACGGUCUUUCUGUUCCAGAUGACCUUUCCCCACCCUUAAAUUUCCUUCACGAGGACUUGCUCCUAAAACAAGGUCAUGCUUAAUAUCUGAUCCAGUCCCAAUAGGAUCAGAUUCAUCAUCAAUUUCACACUUAACGCUGCCAUUUUUACCUUCAGUUCGCGGUUUUUUAGCAGCAGGCGAGCUUUCAUCUAGUCUUGGUGCAGGCUUCCUUAGUUCACUUUCAAGCCUUCUUUUCUUGCCUGGAACUCCACUCUUAACACCAGGUGAAUUUUCGUGCUUACCUCCGGAAAAUUUGGUACUAGAUUUCUCUGUCAACGGACCUUUUGACAUUUUGGAAUCAGAUUUACCACUAGUAGGCACAUGUGAGUUACUGCUUUU